rnacentral:misc_RNA from 1 species
AAAAACUAUAAGCUAAUAAAUAAAUAUUUUCCUCCAAAUUUCCUCAAAAAUAUAUUAAAUAUCCAAACGAAUGACCAUGAUAAUUGCAAUUACAUAUAUAAUAAGAACCAUCGCAAUAAAUGAACAAAUAAAAUAAACAGGCAACCAAUCGAAAAUGGUUGUGGUAUUUUAAUUAUGCGCUAAAGGACUCUCCUUACAAUAGUUAAUAUUUAUUUCCAGUGGACCUUUAUUGGGAAAAGUUGCUUUUAUAGUC